GGCCGCAAGGUUAAAACUCAAAUGAAUUGACGGGGGCCCGCACAAGCGGUGGAGCAUGUGGUUUAAUUCGAUGCAACGCGAAGAACCUUACCUGGUCUUGACAUCCACAGAACUUUCCAGAGAUGGAUUGGUGCCUUCGGGAACUGUGAGACAGGUGCUGCAUGGCUGUCGUCAGCUCGUGUUGUGAAAUGUUGGGUUAAGUCCCGCAACGAGCGCAACCCUUAUCCUUUGUUGCCAGCGGUUAGGCCGGGAACUCA
rnacentral:rRNA from 2 species